rnacentral:other from 1 species
GAAGUCCUGCUUUGCCCGUGAUGGUUUCUCGGAGGCUCGUCUGAGCCAACGUUAAAACCCAAGUGAGCUGCGACAGUCGCGUGGUGUGCAUGCCUCCGAGGCGAGGAAGCCUGAAGCGUGGCUUUAUAUAGCGGCUCCACCUGCAAUCGCAGGUUCAUUCGACCUCCCCACACGGCAAAGCGGGUCUUAU